rnacentral:rRNA from 1 species
AGUCGACGAUGAAUCUUCUAGCUUGCUAGAAGUGGAUUAGUGGCGCACGGGUGAGUAAUGCAUAGGUUAUGUGCCCUUUAGUCUGGGAUAGCCACUGGAAACGGUGAUUAAUACUGGAUACUCCCUACGGGGGAAAGUUUUUCGCUAAAGGAUCAGCCUAUGUCCUAUCAGCUUGUUGGUGAGGUAAUGGCUCACCAAGGCUAUGACGGGUAUCCGGCCUGAGAGGGUGAUCGGACACACUGGAACUGAGACACGGUCCAGACUCCUACGGGAGGCAGCAGUAGGGAAUAUUGCUCAAUGGGGGAAACCCUGAAGCAGCAACGCCGCGUGGAGGAUGAAGGUUUUAGGAUUGUAAACUCCUUUUGUUAGAGAAGAUUAUGACGGUAUCUAACGAAUAAGCACCGGCUAACUCCGUGCCAGCAGCCGCGGUAAUACGGAGGGUGCAAGCGUUACUCGGAAUCACUGGGCGUAAAGAGUGCGUAGGCGGGGUAAUAAGUCAGAUGUGAAAUCCUGUAGCUUAACUACAGAACUGCAUUUGAAACUGUUACUCUGGAGUGUGGGAGAGGUAGGUGGAAUUCUUGGUGUAGGGGUAAAAUCCGUAGAGAUCAAGAGGAAUACUCAUUGCGAAGGCGACCUGCUGGAACAUUACUGACGCUGAUGCACGAAAGCGUGGGGAGCAAACGGGAUUAGAUACCCUGGUAGUCCACGCCCUAAACGAUGGAUGCUAGUUGUUGCCUUGCUUGUCAGGGCAGUAAUGCAGCUAACGCAUUAAGCAUCCCGCCUGGGGAGUACGGUCGCAAGAUUAAAACUCAAAGGAAUAGACGGGGACCCGCACAAGCGGUGGAGCAUGUGGUUUAAUUC